rnacentral:rRNA from 1 species
AGAGUUUGAUCCUGGCUCAGAACGAACGCUGGCGGCAGGCUUAACACAUGCAAGUCGAACGCACCGCAAGGUGAGUGGCAGACGGGUGAGUAACGCGUGGGAACGUGCCCUUCAGUUCGGGAUAACCCAGGGAAACUUGGGCUAAUACCGGAUACGUGCGAGAGCAGAAAGAUUUAUCGCUGAAGGAUCGGCCCGCGUCUGAUUAGCUAGUUGGUGGGGUAAUGGCCCACCAAGGCGACGAUCAGUAGCUGGUCUGAGAGGAUGAUCAGCCACAUUGGGACUGAGACACGGCCCAAACUCCUACGGGAGGCAGCAGUGGGGAAUAUUGGACAAUGGGCGCAAGCCUGAUCCAGCCAUGCCGCGUGAGUGAUGAAGGCCUUAGGGUUGUAAAGCUCUUUCGUCCGGGACGAUAAUGACGGUACCGGAAGAAGAAGCCCCGGCUACUUCGUGCCAGCAGCCGCGGUAAUACGAAGGGGGCUAGCGUUGUUCGGAAUCACUGGGCGUAAAGGGCGCGUAGGCGGCCUGAUAAGUCGGGGGUGAAAGCCUGUGGCUCAACCACAGAAUUGCCUUCGAUACUGUCGGGCUUGAGACCGGAAGAGGUAAGUGGAACUGCGAGUGUAGAGGUGAAAUUCGUAGAUAUUCGCAAGAACACCAGUGGCGAAGGCGGCUUACUGGUCCGGUUCUGNNGCUGAGGCGCGAAAGCGUGGGGAGCAAACAGGAUUAGAUACCCUCGUAGUCC